rnacentral:rRNA from 1 species
CCUACGGGUGACAGCAGUGGGGAAUAUUGCACAAUGGGGGAAACCCUGAUGCAGCGACGCCGCGUGAGUGAGGAAGUAUUUCGGUAUGUAAAGCUCUAUCAGCAGGGAAGAAAAUGACGGUACCUGACUAAGAAGCCCCGGCUAACUACGUGCCAGCAGCCGCGGUAAUACGUAGGGGGCAAGCGUUAUCCGGAUUUACUGGGGGUAAAGGGGGCGUAGACGGCUAAUCAAGUCAGAAGUGAAAACCCAGGGCUCACCCUUGGGAGUGCGUUUGACACUGAGUAGCGAGGGUGCAGGAGAGGUAAGCGGGAGUCCGAGUGGAGCGGUGAAAUGCGUAGAGAUUAGGAGGAACACCAUUGGCGAAGGCGGCUUACUGGACUGUAACUGACGUUGAGGCUCGAAAGCGUGGGGAGCAAACAGGAUUAGAUACCCCUGUAGUG